GAAUAUUGGACAAUGGGGGGAACCCUGAUCCAGCCAUGCCGUGUGUGUGAAGAAGGCCUUUUGGUUGUAAAGCACUUUAAGGGAGGAGGAGGCUGCUCUACCUAAUACCUAGAUAUAGUCGACGUUACUCGCCAAAUAAGCACCGACUAAGUCUAUGCCAGCAGCCGCGGUAAUACAGAGGGUGCAAGCGUUAAUCGGAUUUACUGUGCGUAACGCGCGCGUAGGUGGCCAAUUAAGUCAAAUGUGAGAUCCCCGAGCUUAACUUGGGAAUUGCAUUCGAUACUGGUUGGCUAGAGUAUGGGAGAGGAUGGUAGAAUUCCAGGUGUAGCGGUGAAAUGCGUAGAGAUCUGGAGGAAUACCGAUGGCGAAGGCAGCCAUCUGGCCUAAUACUGACACUGAGGUGCGAAAGCAUGGGGAGCAAAC
rnacentral:rRNA from 1 species